rnacentral:lncRNA from 13 species
UUUACCUUGCAAUGAGGAAAAACAUUUAACUAUAGUUAGCAAUUGACUGUUUGAAAGUGCCCUGAGGACAGACAGUCUCUUCUGUAAUAAGGAUAUACUUUUUCCAGAGUGACAAAUUGCUCAGAAGGUCACAUUUUCUCCAUGUAAUCAGGCUGAAUUUUGUGAUGUAGCAGGUUGAUAGUGGAACUAUUUCUGCAAUCAGGGCAGGACAUCAUGUUUCCGAAAGGCUUUGCUCAGAGGCAGGAGAAAGGCUUGAAGACUAGAAUGAGAAAGAAGGUUGGUCUGAAGCUCCCUUCAAGAGAACAGUCCAUCUGCAUCUCUUCAACUGUGUGUUCCAGGAAAUUCAGGAGACCGGAGAGACCAAUGGAUGAAACACGAGGAUUUUAUUAAGGUGGCUUAGCAGAUUAGCAUCCCAAGACUGAGUGCCUAACAAAAACAGGAUUUGACUUUGUAUACAUUCAGGAUGACAUAGCAACUAACAGGUUUACAGAAGCCAGAACAAAGAACGGUUAAUUAAUUUGUAAUAUGUCUUGUGAUGUACGUUACAUUUGAAAAUAGCAUUUUGAGGAACACAUUGCAAAUUCUUUGAGUGUUUUCUUGUCCUGUGAUCUUGCAGCUGGUCUGCAAGAAAAACAGGAGUCUUGAGUUAUCUGGGAACUUCGCUGGGAAUGUGGGGAGAAAGGAUAAGGUAGGUUUUUCAGGGAGUUAAUUUCAAGCAGAGCUGGAGGUUAGGUUUUAUAUUGAACACAACACAGUAAACUUUAUUAUGCAGCAAUUACAGUCUAUUAUUAUAUUAUUUAAUUUCCCUCUUCACAAGUGAUUCUCGUGCCACACCCUCCUGAGUAGCUGGGACUACAGGCAUGCACUACCACGCCUGGCAAUGUUGUAAUUUUAGUAGAGAUGGGGUUUCUCCAUGUCGAUCAGGUUGGUCUGGAACUCCCAGCCUCAAGUGAUCCAUUCACCUCAGCCUCCCAAAGUGCUGUAAUUACAGGCGUAAGCCACUGUGCCCAGCCUCCCAUUAUUAGGAAAUAGUUGUGGGACAGGUGGGAAGGUGGCCCUGGAAAAACCCCAACCAGCCUAACGUUGGGGUGGAGCCAUGGGGAGUUUGCCCAUUUGCAGCAGGUAGGAGCCUGGCCCC